rnacentral:rRNA from 1 species
UGGGGAAUAUUGCACAAUGGGCGCAAGCCUGAUGCAGCCAUGCCGCGUGUGUGAAGAAGGCCUUCGGGUUGUAAAGCACUUUCAGCGAGGAGGAAGGUGGUGAGCUUAAUACGCUCAUCAAUUGACGUUACUCGCAGAAGAAGCACCGGCUAACUCCGUGCCAGCAGCCGCGGUAAUACGGAGGGUGCAAGCGUUAAUCGGAAUUACUGGGCGUAAAGCGCACGCAGGCGGUUUGUUAAGUCAGAUGUGAAAUCCCCGGGCUCAACCUGGGAACUGCAUUUGAAACUGGCAAGCUAGAGUCUCGUAGAGGGGGGUAGAAUUCCAGGUGUAGCGGUGAAAUGCGUAGAGAUCUGGAGGAAUACCGGUGGCGAAGGCGGCCCCCCUGGACGAAGACUGACGCUCAGGUGCGAAAGCGUGGGCAAGCAAACAGGAUUAGAUACCCUGGUAGUCCACGCUGUAAAACGAUGUCGAUUUGGAGGUUGUGCCCUUGAGGCGUGGCUUCCGGAGCUAACGCGUUAAAUCGACCGCCUGGGGAGUACGGCCGCAAGGUUAAAACUCAAAUGAAUUGAC